UACGAAGGAGGCUAGCGUUGCUCGGAAUCACUGGGCGUAAAGGGUGCGUAGGCGGCUUUUUAAGUCAGGGGUGAAAUCCUGGAGCUCAACUCCAGAACUGCCUUUGAUACUGAGAAGCUUGAGUCCGGGAGAGGUGAGUGGAACUGCGAGUGUAGAGGUGAAAUUCGUAGAUAUUCGCAAGAACACCAGUGGCGAAGGCGGCUCACUGGCCCGGUACUGACGCUGAGGUGCGAAAGCGUGGGGAGCAAACAGG
rnacentral:rRNA from 1 species